GUCGAAAGGAGUCAUGAAUAAUUGAAUGCUCACCUUCUUUUCUUCAGUUCUUAUGUUUUAUCAGUACUAGAAAAUUCUGAUCUGAGGAUUGUCUCUCAAUCAGGAAAAAUUAUACUUACUUAUCUAGGAUAUCUAUAUGAAUCUAAUCUGGGCUUUUAGGUAGCUAGCUAGCUAAAGUAAAAAGAUAGACAGUCAGAGUGACAACUGACAAAUAAGCUACGCCAGUUUAUUUAGGUCAUUUAUCUCUCAUAAUUAGGUUAUUAACAUGCUUUCAGCAGCCUCUCGCUCUUCCGUUGCAUAAUCGCAAUGGUUUUCUGUAGACAAAAACAUUAAACGCAGCUACAACUUUUAAUGACCUGUAGCUAACACAUAUAUAUAGUUAUUUGUGCUGACAGAAGAUAUAUAGCAAUCAAGCAAACUGUUUUAAUUUCAGAACGCUUGCACUAUGUAAUAGCUCCUUUCUUUUAUGAUCAUGGUUGCAUCUGGAAAAAGGAUAAAUUUUGCAGCAGGAACUUUAGCAGGCCAGAUAUGGGAUUUACGGUAUUUUAAUUCACUAUAAAGAAGAUGCUAUCCUAAUUAAUAUAUAAGCAGGUCUAUUAAUAAGUAAAAAGCAUCUACGUGAUAAAUUGUGCACCCCAAGCUUCAAUACUUUUGUUUGCAUGAGCAAUCCCAAAAUAUAAAAAUUAUAUACAAAAAAUGCCGAAAAUGCGAAGUAACAAAAUCCCUUUUCCCCCUGUACACUGCACAGGGUUACUGUUUUGGUGUCAGCAACAAAGGUAGUAUGCGUGCCAUCAAUGCAGAGUUAUUAAUUAAACUUUGUGACUACUUGUUGAACAAACAAUAUUCCACACACAAAUUGUCCACUGUCUAAACUUUGUCAUUUUGUUUCUGUUAACUGAUCAGAGUGUGAGUUGUAGAAUGCUUUUUUUGAAUCCAAAUUGAUUAUAAGAGUUGAUGUUAUAUUGAUCUAAGAUAAAACUAGGUGGUUUUUAAUUAAUAUUUGAAAGAUCUUAUUAAUAUUACUGAGUAAUAAAAUAGAUCUAUAAUUAUUCACUUCAAGUGGUGAACCUUUAUUUUUGAAAAUAAAAGUGACAUUGACAUUGUAUGUUAAUGAAAAUUGAAAUUGUAGGAAAAUCACUUUCAGUUAUUGAUUUGUUACAAAGUUUUGAUCAAAAAAGUAUUAUUAUUUUCUUUUAGUAUAAUGUAUAGUCAGAUGAGGUAAUCAUUACGCAUUUAUAUUCAUUACGCAUUUUUAAGUUUGUUAAUUUCGCAACUAAAACAAGGUUUAAAAUAAAAUUAAAGAAUGAAAAAACUAACUGAAAUGAUUCCUCCGCUAUAUUAACCAAUUAAAUUAUUCCAUACGACGACUCUUCCAGAGAAAUCUUGAUGUUUCCAACACCACUCCAAAAAAGUCCAAUAUCAACUUUCCGAAUCACUUCACUAACUUUCCUCUACCAUUUUUGUUAGCACGGUCCACUGGUAAAAAAACUGUGUUAAAUUACAGACCCGAACCUCGUCCAUUGAUUCUCGGAGGCCUUUUUAUGUAAAAAUCACGCCCGGGGCAAAAAAACGAUGCGCAAUUAUUAAAUCAAGAAAUCAUUGGGCAUAAUAUUAUCAUUACGCACAAAGCAAAGUUAGAGAGACUACUAGAAAUCUUGUUUAACGUCUUUAGUUAAGAACUUUAUGCCUUGUUAUAAUUGUCAGGAAGGGGUAAACAUUCCUUAUAUGGUAUUUUGUGAAGGUCUUUGGCGCCAAUUGGUCAAUAAUUCCUUAACAAGACAAGAUUCUAGUAACAAACUCUUUUGCAGAUCAAUUCGUACUGGGAGAAGGUAGAAUUUUGUUUUGCUAUGUUUGUUUUUAAUUUCUAAACACUUGUUUUACCAUAUUCUUGGAUGAGAGACCACAGUGAGUAUUUUUGGGAAUGUAUACUGUGUUUUAUCGUGUUUAUAGUUUGUCUAGACGGCUUAACAAUGAAAACAAAAAAACGUGUAUCAAAGAGUGGUCGAGAAAAAAGCAGGGUAGCAGAAAAGUUGCGAAGAAAGUUGUGGACGCGUGGACAGAAGAGCAACUCCAGGAAGCGCUUCAAGAGUUCGAUUCUAUGCCGAAUGCAUCAGUCAGAGGCAUAGCAAAACGUCAUGGUAUCAACGAAUCUACGCUGCGAUUUCGUUUAAAAAAACGCAAGGAAGGAGCCAAAUUAGGAAAGUCUGGUCGGAAAUGUGUUUUCGAUGCAGAAACGGAGGCCCGGCUAGCUAAGUACAUUGGUGUUGUAUGUAACCUUGGUUUUAGUCCUACGUUGGAUGAAAUUUUGGAUCUUGUUGCCGAAUACAUCAAAGUCACAGGGACGAUUUCACUCCAGUUUAAAAAUGGAAGGCCUGGUUUGGUGUGGAUAAAGAGCUUUAUGAAAAGAAACGGACUGAGUCACAAGAAGGCUGAGAUGAUUAGUACUGCCCGUAAAGCAAACACAUCCAAUCCAUUUAUAAUUUUUGAUUUCUACGAUCAAUUGGAACAGAUCUUCGAGAAAUACCCUAAUCUGGAUGCACAACGGAUCUGGAACUGGGACGAAAGUUCUUUCCCAACUGAUCCAUCAAAAGGGAAAGUUGUCUCCGUGAAGGGACAGCGUGCCCUUAAAUUACGGUAUGGCGCUGGGAGAGAAAACAUCACUGUACUCGGUGUUUGUAAUGCAGCUGGAGUGGCACUUGACCCUCUUAUUAUAUUCACUGGAAAAAAUAUGCAAAGUACGUGGUACGGGGACAAGGCUCUACCCAACACGUUUUACGCCAAGUCUGAAAACGGUUGGAUGGACACGGAAGUUUUUUCCACGUGGUUCGCCAAAUUCACUGAGGACGUAACAGAAAGACCAUUGUUACUGGUGUUUUGCCCAUCGCACCUUACCCAUAUCAGCAUAUCUGUCAUUAAAAAAGCAUUGGAAGACGAUAUAAUUAUAAUGAAAUUCCCUCCACAUGUUACGGAUGUCAUGCAACCCCUAGAUGUUGCAUGUUUUGGACCCUUAAAACGUGCUUGGGAGAAGCGCCUCCAUUUACGCGUGACAACACAUGGUGCUAAAAGCCAAUUGACAAAGUCUGAGUUUGUCAAUGAACUCUGUUCCAUUUGGAAAGAUGGCAUGAAAAAAGAAAGCGUUAUCAAUGGAUUUAGGAGUACUGGAAUAUGGCCAAUUGACAAAGCAUGUAUCCAAAGGAACGCUUGGACCCAAGAUUGUUAGCGAAAUAUUAUACGUGGAAACAAAGUGGUAAAGCUCUUGAUUGGUCUAAAUUGUCAGACGGACAAAUCGAUGAAGCUGCGGGUCUUGCGCAAAAUCAAGUCUCGACAUCAUUACCACUGCCCGAAUUGCAAAACUAAGCAGAAUCUCCUUUAUCAAUAUCUAAUACCACACCUACAACCACCCCUAAUGUAAAUAUAACUCCAUCAUCUCUGCCAGGCGGAAGUCGUGAUGAAACUAAUUAGAUAAAUAUCUUGUUAAAG